rnacentral:tRNA from 1 species
AGAAAAUUAGUUUAAUAAAAACAUAGACCCGUCUAGUCUAAAUUGUCUAUAGACAUUUUUUU